ensembl:lncRNA
AUAAAAUAAAAAAAAAACAUCAAACCCUUUUUCUUUGCUAUUUUCAACGCAUUAAUUUUUUUUUUAACCUUUGAUCAGUUCUUGCAUCAUGUAUGAAUUUUCCUUACAUCAAUAAAAAAUAUAAAGUUAACACUAUUUUGUAAAUUUAUUCCUUUUUUUGUUAAUUUAUCUUUUGAUUGUUUUUUUUUUGUAAUUGAUUUACUAAUUUAUUUAUUUUUUAAUUUUAAUUUUUUGCCUAAUUUAUUGCCUAAUUUUUAAACUCAUUUUUGUUUUCAUUUUCUCAUCAAAUCAUCGUAUUUUUUCAUUUUUUUAGCACUUUUACAUUUGGCUUAUACCAAUCACUAUUAUAUAUUUUGUUUGUUGUAUAAAUUUGUAAAAAAAAAUAGGAAAACAAAUAAACUAUGUAACUUGAAAAAUAUUAAAAAAAAAUAGAAAAUAAAUUGUUACUUAAAUCGAAAAUGAAAAUAACAUAAGCCUAGUUAAAAAGUAAAAGUUAAAAAAAAAAAUGCAUUAUGCUUUUUACUUUUUACCAAUUUUUUAUUUGCUCCAUUUGAGAUUGUUAUCAAUAGGAUAUGUUACACAUAACAUAGGGAAGUCAAGUUAUACGUUAUAUGCAAUAAAAAAGAAAAAACACAAAAAAAAAAAUACCAAAGUUAAUUGACAUUACCGUGAAUAGUGAUAAUGAAAUAGGAACAAAAGGUUUAGAAACUUAAAUACGCUAAAUACGCAUGUUUCAUAUUGAAAUAUAACUACAAUAUAUGCAUAUACAUUUGCAGACGCAUAUAUAUAUAUAUAUAUAUAUACAAACUGCGUACAUACAAUGUGAUACCUUAAUUUUAAAUUUCAUAGGGCAAAUAAAAAAAGUAAAACUGUCUCACGCAUUUAAUUAUAUUAUACCACAAAAACUCGGAUAUAGAAGCACAAUUGACGAAUUAAUUGAAAAGGAGAAAAACGAAAACACUCAUAGAUAUAUAGAUGAAAUAAAAUCAAGUUUUAUAUGGGAAUAUAAAAAGAAGUUAAAUGAUAUAAUUAUUCCAUUUUAUUUUAAUAAAAAUGAAAAGUUUGUUCUUACUGAAGAAAACGUACUAUAUUAUCUUCUAUGUAGAGGAUUAAUUCGAGAGAAUGAUGAAGUAUAUAACAAAAUAAAAAAUAAAAAAAUUAAAAUUAUAGACUUCGGCACAUAUCCAAUAAAAUAUACUUUUUUUAAUAAUGUUAGCAUCAAUGUUGCUUUAAAUAUUCUUAAAAAUAAAUAAAUGUUUUUUUUUUAGAUUUUAAUUAAUUUGAUUAAAAAAUUCAUUAAUUAUAUCACGCAUCAAACUGAUAAAAAAAAACAAAAAAAUAGCGAACCGAACAGUAGGUUUUUAUUUAUAAUUUAAAAAAAAAAAAAAUAAUAAAUAAAUAAAACAGCUAACCA